GGGUUUGGAUUGUUGUACUUUUUUUUUUGUUCGUUGCAUUUUUAGGAACAAAAAAAAAAGCCCAACCCUUCACACCG
rnacentral:pre_miRNA from 2 species